GUGAGGAAUAUUGGUCAAUGGACGGAAGUCUGAACCAGCCAUGCCGCGUGCAGGAAUAAGGUCCUAUGGAUUGUAAACUGCUUUUAUUCGGGAAUAAACCUCUUUACGUGUAGGGAGCUGAAGGUACCGAAGGAAUAAGCACCGGCUAACUCCGUGUCAGCAGCCGCGGUAAUACGGAGGGUGCAAGCGUUAUCCGGAAUCAUUGGGUUUAAAGGGUCCGCAGGCGGGCUAUCAAGUCAGAGGUGAAAUCCCACAGCUUAACUGUGGAACUGCCUUUGAAACUGAUGGUCUUGAAUUAAGUGGGCGUUGGCGGAAUAUGACAUGUAGCGGUGAAAUGCAUAGAUAUGUCAUGGAACACCGAAAGCGAAGGCAGCUAACGAUACUUAUAUUGACGCUCAUGGACGAAAGCGUGGGUAGCGAACAGGAUUAGAAACCCUAGUAGUCC
rnacentral:rRNA from 1 species